UACAGAGGGUGCGAGCGUUAAUCGGAAUCACUGGGCGUAAAGGGCGCGUAGGUGGUUAAUUAAGUUGUAUGUGAAAUCCCUGGGCUUAACCUAGGAAUUGCAUAUAAAACUGGUUAUCUAGAGUAUGGGAGAGGGAAGUGGAAUUUCCGGUGUAGCGGUGAAAUGCGUAGAUAUCGGAAGGAACACCAGUGGCGAAGGCGACUUCCUGGCCCAUUACUGACACUGAGGCGCGAAAGCGUGGGGAGCGAACAGG
rnacentral:rRNA from 1 species